rnacentral:rRNA from 1 species
UACGUAGGGUGCAAGCGUUAAUCGGAAUUACUGGGCGUAAAGCGUGCGCAGGCGGUUUUGUAAGUCUGUCGUGAAAUCCCCGGGCUCAACCUGGGAAUUGCGAUGGAGACUGCAAGGCUAGAGUAUGUCAGAGGGGGGUAGAAUUCCACGUGUAGCAGUGAAAUGCGUAGAGAUGUGGAGGAAUACCGAUGGCGAAGGCAGCCCCCUGGGACGCACUGACGCUCAU